AGUGAACGCUGGCGGUAGGCCUAACACAUGCAAGUCGAACGGCAGCACAGUAAGAGCUUGCUCUUACGGGUGGCGAGUGGCGGACGGGUGAGGAAUACAUCGGAAUCUACUUUUUCGUGGGGGAUAACGUAGGGAAACUUACGCUAAUACCGCAUACGAACUACGGGUGAAAGCAGGGGAUCUUCGGACCUUGCGCGAUUGAAUGAGCCGAUGUCGGAUUAGCUAGUUGGCGGGGUAAAGGCCCACCAAGGCGACGAUCCGUAGCUGGUCUGAGAGGAUGAUCAGCCACACUGGAACUGAGACACGGUCCAGACUCCUACGGGAGGCAGCAGUGGGGAAUAUUGGACAAUGGGCGCAAGCCUGAUCCAGCCAUACCGCGUGGGUGAAGAAGGCCUUCGGGUUGUAAAGCCCUUUUGUUUGGAAAGAAGAGCAGCAAGUUAAUACCCCGCUGUUCUGACGGUACCCAAAGAAUAAGCACCGGCUAACUUCGUG
rnacentral:rRNA from 1 species